AUUACUAAUUGUCUAAUACUGGUAUACAGUUACAUCCCCAAGCACCAGUUUUGAAAAUGUCCAAGAACCUCCUCGUCUCGACUCCUCUCUCCGCCCUUUUGCUUCUGCGCCGUGGCCUUCGGACCUCAAUCCCUCUUCUCUCACUUCGUUCCACUCCCCACCUCCAUUCUCUGUCCUCCUUCUCGCCCUCACUUUUCUACUGCUUUCCAGAUUCUUCCAGCCUCUACUUUCCUUCCACUUCCAGUUUUCUCGAGAUUCUCAAAUUUUCUGGGAAACUUUUUUGCUCGGAGUCGGCCGACAGUGUCGUCGGCAGGUGCUGGAACUGUCGUGCCGCUGCGGAAACGGCGCCGUUUCUCGUUUGCGACUCCUGUCGGAGUGUUCAGCCCGUUGAUCAGUCGGUGGAUUACUUCCUGAUAUUUGGGUUAGAGAGAAGUUUUGAUAUUGCCGUUGAGAAUCUUGAGGGCAAGUACAAGGGCUGGCAGAAGAAACUGCAUCCUGAUCUAGUUCACUCAAAAUCUGAGAGAGAAAGGGAGUAUGCUGCUGAACAGUCUGCUCGAGUCAUUGAUGCAUACCAAACACUAAGUAAACCAUUGUUGAGGGCAAUAUACAUUCUGAGGCUUCAAGGUGUAGAUGUGGAUGAAGAAAAAACUGUUUCAGAUCCAAAGUUGCUAGCAGAGAUUUUGGAAAUCAGGGAAGCUGUUGAAGAGGCUGCUGACACCCAGGCAUUAAAUCAGAUAAAGUCUCAGAUACAAGAAAAGCUGCAAUUUUGGUCUAAAUCCUUUUCAAAUGCAUUUCAAAGACGCAACUUUGAAGAAGCUCAAACUUCCAUUCAGAGAAUGACAUACUAUGAUCGUGUAAAUGAUGAAAUUGUGAAGAAGCUUUGAUAAAGGCUAUUGCUGGUCCAGAGUGUAGUUUUUGGUCUCAACAACAUUUAGAUCAUUUAUAAGUGCUGAUGACCCCAAUGACAGUACUUGAUGGAAAUUUGAUGGAGAUCAAUGGGUCGAGAUUGAUAUUAUAUGAGCCAGAAAAAUAUGGGUAACUUAAGUAUAGAACUGGAGUGGAAUAUGUCAGCCAAAGAACGUUGGAUGAUCAUCGAUGUAUUCUUUAUUUGUUUAUGUAUUAUUCCCCUUUGUUUUUUGUCCACAAUAUUUAGUGCUGCUUUUUGAACUUUACAUGAAAAAUAAGACUUAUAUUCUUUCUAUAAUUGGCUAAAAUUUUUAUGCCAGCAAAAUCUGGUAAUAGUUUUUUUAUUGGGGAGAUGUUGUCAUGUAUGUCCAUUGAAAACAAUAGAUUCAGCAGGUGUUUAAUGCUUGCAAUAUAAAAUUGUACGCUUAUUUGAAUA